UUGUUGGUAAGGUAAAAGCUUACCAAGGCUUCGAUCAGUAGCUGGUCUGAGAGGACGACCAGCCACACUGGGACUGAGACACGGCCCAGACUCCUACGGGAGGCAGCAGUGGGGAAUUUUGGUCAAUGGGGGCAACCCUGAUCCAGCCAUGCCGCGUGAGUGAAGAAGGCCUUCGGGUUGUAAAGCUCUUUCAGCCGGAACGAAACGGUUACGGAUAACACCCGUGACUACUGACGGUACCGGAAGAAGAAGCACCGGCUAACUACGUGCCAGCAGCCGCGGUAAUACGUAGGGUGCGAGCGUUAAUCGGAAUUACUGGGCGUAAAGCGUGCGCAGGUGGUUUUGUAAGUCAGAUGUGAAAGCCCCGGGCUCAACCUGGGAACUGCGUUUGAAACUACAAGACUAGAGUGUGGCAGAGGGGGGUGGAAUUCCGCGUGUAGCAGUGAAAUGCGUAGAGAUGUGGAGGAACACCGAUGGCGAAGGCAGCCCCCUGGGUCAACACUGGCGCUCAGGCACGAAAGCAUGGGGAGCAAACAGGAUUAGAUACCCUGGUAGUCCAUGCCCUAAACGAUGUCAACUAGUUGUCGGGCCUUUACGGGCUUGGUAACGUAGCUAACGCGUGAAGUUGACCGCCUGGGGAGUACGAUCGCAAGAUUAAAACUCAAAUGAAUUGACGGGGACCCGCACAAGCGGUGGAUUAUGUGGAUUAAUUCGAUGCAACGCGAAAAACCUUACCUACCCUUGACAUGUAUCGAAGCCCGCAGAAAAGCGGGGGUGCCCGAAAGGGAACGAUAACACAGGUGCUGCAUGGCUGUCGUCAGCUCGUGUCGUGAGAUGUUGGGUUAAGUCCCGCAACGAGCGCAACCCUUGUCAUUAAUUGCCAUCAUUUAGUUGGGCACUUUAAUGAGACUGCCGG
rnacentral:rRNA from 1 species